rnacentral:tRNA from 1 species
GCGUCAGUAGUUCAAUGGCAUAACACCCGGCUUCUACCCGGGGGAUGCGGGUUCGAAACCCGUCUGGCGCUCCA